rnacentral:hammerhead_ribozyme from 1 species
AUCCAGCUGAAGAGUACCGAAUAGGACGAAACGCGCGUCGUGGAU